rnacentral:RNase_P_RNA from 1 species
CGGGCAGGCUGCUUUAUCGUUCUGAUUUUUAUCAGAAAGGAAAGUCCGGGCAACGCAGGGCACCGUGCUUCCUAACAGGAAGAUCUCUGAAAGAGGAUAUAAACGUAACAGAAAAUAACCACCCUGGAGAGGCAAUGCUUUUUCAGGGAACGGGUGAAAAGGCGGGGUAAAAGCCCACCGGUGUUUGUGGUAACACAGACAGCCGUACGUCUCACGGGUUGCAAAGCCAAAUAUAUCCUGAUUUUUAUCGCUGUUGCGGUAAAACGAAGCGGCCCGUUUCGUUUCCGGGCACACCGGAAAUCAGGAGGGGUAGGCUGCAGGAUCAGAGCAGUGAUGUUUUGACAAGACAGAUGAUAAAGGAUCCCGGAAAUUCCGGGAUUACAGAACCCGGCUUACAGGCCUGCCUGUUUU